AGCGAACGCUGGCGGCAGGCCUAACACAUGCAAGUCGAACGAACUCUUCGGAGUUAGUGGCGGACGGGUGAGUAACACGUGGGAACGUGCCUUUUGGUUCGGAAUAACUCAGGGAAACUUGUGCUAAUACCGAAUGUGCCCUUCGGGGGAAAGAUUUAUCGCCAUUAGAGCGGCCCGCGUCUGAUUAGCUAGCUGGUGAGGUAACGGCUCACCAAGGCGACGAUCAGUAGCUGGUCUGAGAGGAUGACCAGCCACACUGGGACUGAGACACGGCCCAGACGCCUACGGGAGGCAGCAGUGGGGAAUCUUGCGCAAUGGGCGAAAGCCUGACGCAGCCAUGCCGCGUGAAUGAUGAAGGUCUUAGGAUUGUAAAAUUCUUUCACCGGGGACGAUAAUGACGGUACCCGGAGAAGAAGCCCCGGCUAACUUCGUG
rnacentral:rRNA from 1 species